UCGUAUGUGUGGACUCUAAUGUAGUUCAAAAUAAAUAACGAACGAGAUAAAGUACAACUAAAUAAUCAUCAUAUAAAAAUUAUGUAUAAUUUAUGAAAAAAUAACAAUCCACAUCAUCAUAGCUUAGCAACUCGGUUGAUUUCACAUGGCAAAGGUCAUUUGUACAUCAGAUCUCUUCGAUCCAACAUCACCCUUCUCUCUUCAACCAACAUCUCAUAGAUUAGCUAUAAAAAAGGAAAAUCACCGUGAAGGAAAAAAAAGAACGUUAUUAUGUAUUGUUUCAAAGAUUCAUUGCUCCACCAUUGUAGGAUUUAGCUUUUGAUGAUGACAAUGGUGAAACACAUAACAAUCAAGACUAUUUGUAAUAACAUUUUCAAGAAGGAUAUGAAGAUGAAAGUGAUUGCGUUUGUGUAGAAAGACAAAAAAAUUGUAUGUUUAAAAGGCGAUUUCAUACUGAAUGUUGUUACAGAUGAAUGUGAGAGAUUAGAGAAGAAUGAGUGUUUGGUCGAAACUAAUUUCCAAUCAAGCAGUCAAAUUGCUUAAACGGACCAAGACAUAAUACUCUUUGUAUCGACUUGUAUGUUUCGUCAGUUGAGCAAUCUGAAAACUUGAAUGGAUAUUAGUGUAGACCAACACUCUUUCCUAUCAUCACAUUCAUCCACAACAAUUUUCAGUGUUGAAUCAUUUUUAACUUUACAUUUUCUUGUCUUUCUCUUCCGUCUCUUCAGAUCCUACUUAGAGAAGUUAAGAAAAAAACAAUAAAUAGAUCCUAAAAGAUAUUAAAAGAAAACUCUGAAACAAUUAAUUUUCUAUAGUGAAAGCUCAUGCUCUAGAGAGAAAG
rnacentral:lncRNA from 1 species